CCUGAUGCAGCCACAGCAGGAGAUAACUGUAGUGUUCCUCUUCCAAUUUUUCGUGGAGUGGGCCCUUGAACAUCAGCUCAGUGUGUUGUUGGAAUCUCCUCCAUGCGUCAGGCAAAUCCAGGGAAUCCCAGUCCAUGCUGGGCAUCAGCACGCCAGCGGAGUCCAUCUUCUCUUCCUGUAAGUACUUUUAGUUUUCUGACACCAUGUAGUUCUUUUCUGUUCACGCUAUCGUGAAAUAUUAUAAGAUUAAACACUAUUCAGGGACACGCAUUUUGCAGAUCUCCUUUUAUCAUUAUUCCCCCGUCACUUCCUGUGACCAUCAGCUUUAUGGUAAUGCAGUUUCAUAUAUAACAGUGAUACCAAUCAUUACAGUACGUUAUUUUCAAAUGCAGUAGAGCAUUUAUUUAUUAAGUUUUGUAUAAUCAUUUUGUAGGCGUUUUUUAUGACACAGUGCUGUUUAAUAAACCCACAUCUGCAAUGGAGAAUUAAUGAUACAGCUUAUUGCACCUCCUCAGGGUUUGCAGAAAGGUAGGCAGAGUUACAUAUUUUCAAUGAGCCUGGGUUUCCUCUUCUUUUUGUUUCCAUGAGUGUGUGUUGGUGGUUAUUCCAGCACUGCCGCAUUUGACAGCAUGUUUGAAAGAAGCUGUUUUCCUUCAGUGUAUCAAUGUCUGCAUAAAAGCAGUUUCUCGUGAAGGCGUUACACUCUGGUGUGAAGCUGCUAAUCUGUUUGUACCUUCAUCUUCAGCAGUAGCUGCACUAACAUCACGCAGGAACACUGUCUGACCUCCAGUGUCACUCUCUCAGGAUUCGCUCUGUCCAUUUCAAACAUCUGAGCUCUAGUAAACCUCUUAGAGCUUCUUAGUAACAGUCGGUCGAUCAAAGCCACUCCGCUCUCAAGUGACCUCUAAGUUGGAGCACAAGUUUUGGAUUGAGAGGAGAGCUGCUAUUGUCUGACUCCACAACCCUGAACUACUAAAGCUCAGCUGGAGAAAGAACAUGAAAAGUGUAGUCAUAUUUUCAUUAUUAUUACCUGGUUAAUCAGGCUGCACGCAACAGAACUGGAGUUGGUAACACUUUAGAAUAAGGUUCCAUUAGUUAAUGUUAGUUAAUGUAUUAAUUAACAUAAACAAACAAUGAACAAUACAUUUAUUACUGUAUUUAUUCAUCUUUGUUAAUGUUAGUUAAUACAGUUAUUCAUUGUUAGUUCAUGCUAAUUCACAGUGCAUUAACUAAUGUUAUCACGCACAAGUUUUGGUUUGAAUACUGCAUUAGUAAAUGUUGAUAUUAACAUUAACUAAGAUUAAUAAAUGCUGUAGAAGGAUUGUCCUUGCUUAGUACUAAAGUAGUUAACUAACAUGAACUAAUGAAACC
ensembl:lncRNA